UGUACUCCAGAGUAUAACUGGCUCCCAGAGGGGAGAUUUACAUGUGUCCGGGGCCUUGGUUAUUUCAUCUGAUGACCUGGUUUCUGCAGCUCUGCCCAGCAGAUGCCCCUCAAUCACCUGGCUCAGGAGUUAGGGGGACUUGACCAAAGAGAUGCUUAUCCAUUUUGCUCCAGGAAUUUGUGAUGUAGGAGCUCACUUCACCUUGCUGCCCAUCUGGGGGAAGGAUUCAUAAAGCAAAGAUGAAAUGACAGGACUACCCAAAAUAAAUUCUGUCCUUUGAAGAUGGUGUUGUAAAGGAAUAUGACCAAAUUCAUUCUGAUUUUGCUUGGAGUUAUGUGCCUUCUGGAGACAGUGUUUUAUCCAGUGGAAGAAAGUUUAAUCAAAACGAUGUUUUUGGCCAACUGCAAAAUGUUUACAACUGUCUCUGAAAGCCAGCCACACAGUUGGCCACUUACUCCACUUACACAGCAGUUCUCAGUUGCAGAAAGGCUAUAGGACAGAUGCAGAAGAUCCAGUGAAGGAUGUGAAGAUCUCCUAGCUGUAAAACACUUGCUAGAAGGACUUUUAAGAACUACUAGAUGAAAUCACCACCACUAGAGUGCAAAGCCACUCACUGACACUCAUUUACUGCACUGUGGGUUAUCUGAGUUAAUAAAAUUUAGGAUAUUUUUACCCCCA